rnacentral:lncRNA from 1 species
AACAUCUAACAAAAAAGAAAAAAAGGGAAAAAGGUUUCCGAAUUCGGUGAAUUCGGAAUUUACUGAAUUUUGAAUUGAAUUUGGAAUCGAAAUCGAAAUCGGAACAGGUGAAUUCGAAAUCGAAAUCGGUCGGUAAUUCCUACGCCAAAAUUUCGAAAAAUUCUGAAUUCAAACUUCCGAAUUACCGAAUUCGAAUUCGAAUUCGAUGCAUACCCCUAGUGGCUAUGUGUGUUGAUGGAACAUGCUGGUGAAGGAAGGCUUGAUGUGCACGAUUUGGUGGUUUUGUAUUUACAAAUUUUUAAUUUUCACCCCA